UACGAAGGGGGCUAGCGUUGCUCGGAAUCACUGGGCGUAAAGGGUGCGUAGGCGGGUCUUUAAGUCAGGGGUGAAAUCCUGGAGCUCAACUCCAGAACUGCCUUUGAUACUGAAGAUCUUGAGUCCGGGAGAGGUGAGUGGAACUGCGAGUGUAGAGGUGAAAUUCGUAGAUAUUCGCAAGAACACCAGUGGCGAAGGCGGCUCACUGGCCCGGUACUGACGCUGAGGCACGAAAGCGUGGGGAGCAGACAGG
rnacentral:rRNA from 1 species